AGCUGGUGGGGUCUGGGGCCUGAGAUGUUCUGGCUCUCUGUGACCCAAGAGAGCAGUGAGUUGACUUCCUGAGCACACAGCGGAGGGAGGAGGCCGGAGUUUUGGAGCCUUUUUGUAGAUGCUCGGAUACAUUGGCUGUGAAGGAGCCAUCAGCUCCGCCUGCGUGAAGCAAGCCAGAUGCCUGCGACGGGGGAAGAGACGGCUCUGUCCCUGUAAUCAGCUUUGCUGAGGUCCUGAGGCUCGGGGCUGCCGUGCGAGAGAAGCUCCCACGGCAGAGCCGUGUGCCAGGCAGGCAGCUGGCUGCGGGGCUCCGCGUGCAGGGACUGAAAAGGGAAAAAUAGAGAAAAAAAAAAAUAAAAAGAAAAAAAACUUGGGAGACCUGGGGAAG
rnacentral:lncRNA from 1 species